CCGUCCGGAAAUACUUGUCAUCAAAAUGGAUAAAAGGAAAUGUAUCUAGACGUAUUUUAGUUUUAGAUACAUCUCUUUUUAUCCAUUUUGAUGACAAGUAUUUUUGGACGG
rnacentral:pre_miRNA from 1 species